rnacentral:ncRNA from 1 species
CAGAGAUCAAAACACGGUCCGGUUGGUAGUCCGGGCACGGCCGAUUGCCGUCAGUAACCUGCCUCCUAUGGUUGUCCAUUCUCUGC